rnacentral:sRNA from 1 species
GCAGGCCCGGGCCGCGGGCUUGGUUUCCACCCUGGAGGUUGCUGACACCGUGUGCCCUCGGCUCUGACUUCCAGCCGGUGGCACAGACGCCUCCAGGGGGCAGCACUCAAGCGCAUCUUAGGAAUGACAGAGUUGCAUCCCUCUCUGUUGCCAGGCUGGAGUUCAGUGGCAUGUUCGUAGCUCACUGAAGCCUCAAAUUCCUGGGUUCAAGUGAUCCUCCCCCCUCAGCCCCAUGAGGACCUGGGACUACAGUGGGCCAGAGGAGGAGGACUGCCUCUUGUGACUGUGGAAGGACUUCUACCAGGCUAACACCCCCGGCCUCUCACCCUCCUAUUUCUCACCCUGCAAAGCAGAGUGUUAUUUGAUUCAUGUUCUUAGUCUGUGGAUCUCAGUUGAGGAGAACUCGUUAGAGAUUUACCCUCUUUCCGUCUUUUUGAGACCUUACUGGUGCAAGACAGCAAAUCCUAGCUGGUGUCUACGGGACACAUGCACUCUUAGGUUACAUAACUGCAGGGACCACUGUCAUUGUAUCCUGGAGCUGG